UACGAAGGGGGCUAGCGUUGCUCGGAAUCACUGGGCGUAAAGCGCGCGUAGGCGGAUCUUUAAGUCAGGGGUGAAAUCCCGGGGCUCAACCCCGGAACUGCCUUUGAUACUGUGGAUCUUGAGUCCGGAAGAGGUGAGUGGAACUGCGAGUGUAGAGGUGAAAUUCGUAGAUAUUCGCAAGAACACCGGUGGCGAAGGCGGCUCACUGGUCCGGAACUGACGCUGAGGCACGACAGCGUGGGGAGCAAACAGG
rnacentral:rRNA from 1 species